rnacentral:tRNA from 1 species
GGGCUCUUAGCUCAAUUGGAUAGAGCGCUACGCUACGGACGUGGAGGUUGAGGGUUCGACUCCUUCAGGGCCCGCCA